GAGUCACAAGCUAAAGAAUCCUAUUAUUGCACGCUACAUCCGAAUCAAUCCAUUGGAAUACCAUCUCUGGAUUUCAUUGAGGGCUGAUUUCUAUGGUUGUAAAUCAGGAAAUGCGGAUAAAGGUUGCCAAGAAGAAGCCCUCGGAAUGGAAAAUGGGGAAAUCCCCAACUCUGACAUCAAAGCUAACUACGAGGUAAAUGCAGUACAUUUUUAGCGAAACUCCGGCGGCCCGAAUGGCCGCCAAGCGAAGCCCCAUACCCAUAUAGGAAAGAGCAAGAAACCCAUGAAUUGAUUUUCUCA